CAAAGGCCUUUAUGGUGCAUGUGGAGAUGGGAAUCUUUACAUUUUUAAGUAGGACUUUGUCACAUUCAGGAGGGGUAAUAAAAAAAUUUACAUUUUGACUUUCAGGAGGAAAAUGUGGUGGGAAAAUGCCGCUGUUGGAGCUCGCUCAGGACGCUCGCCAUGCCUCAGAGCCCACGGAGAAGGUCACACUGCACUUCCCAGCCAGCACCUCAGCUCUGCCAGGCAAAAAAGGGUUUGCAGCCUUCCCUGAGGAUGCAGAGAGCAUCCUGCAGCUCUUGCAGGUGAUGUCAGGUUUAGCUAGAUCUUCCUGCUGUGGCUCCUUUUGGAAUUUAUACACCCCCUACACAGGGAGAUCACUCUCCAAGGCAAAACCUUCUGAACCAUCCUGCAGGUGAACCAUUCCAGGGAAUUCCAUAACCCUACCGAGAUAAGCAUUUAUCUUUACACACGUCAAACCACCUCCCUAAGUGGGAGUAGAACAAAGCAUUCCCAGCUGCGGCAGCGCUGAGGCCCAAAGCUGCCAAAUGUCCGUGCAUUAGCCACAGGGCAGCUUUUCCUUGCUGGAAAAUCCGUGUCAGACAGCCUUGGCACCCCGGAGGGCUGAGCGGAGCCUCGGGAGCGGCUCCGAGGGGCGGCUUCCCCUCCCUGCCCCGGGACAGCCCCGGCCGAGGCUCACAGAGCCCGGCAGGAGGCUCCGGGCAGCCAGCAGCUCGGGUAGAACGGGUCAGCUCGGGUAGAACGGGGCAGCUCGGGUAGAACGGAACGGGUCAGCUCGGGUAGAACGGGUCAGCUCGGGUAGAACGGGUCAGCUCGGGUAGAACGGAACGGGGCAGCUCGUGUAGAACGGGGCAGCUCGGGUAGAACGGGUCAGCUCGUGUGUCCGUGCUGCCGCUGAAAGGACUCCAGGGGUGUUCCCGGCUGCGGCGGGGGCUGCCUGUGCCAGGACAGCCGGCUGGGCACGGAGCGCUCCUGUCGGGCUCCUAAACGUGCCCAAAGCCCUCUCUGCAGACAGAUCUCGGGGAGGGGCUCCCCUGAAAGCAGAGCUGCCUUUCGGGAGCCCGGCGUUUUCCGCACCUUAUCCCUUCCUGUCGCUCCUUCUGGCCGCGGCUCGCAAAUGCCAAAGGGUCCUUGCGGACAAUCUGUCCUUCAAUGAACCUGCCAGCUCCCGCUGGAGAUGGGGAGUGUUCCUUGGAGCCAGGCAGGGGAAGGGAACCGCGGCCUCCUCUUGCCCUGUGCACGAUAACCUCACAUGCAUAUUAUUUCCCACCGUAAUCCUACUGCUUUUAAUUAGUGCGCUGUAAAAGGAAGAAGCGCCACAUCUCCAAGGGGAAAAGGAGGAGGGAAGGGAAGGAAAAAAAAAAAAAACCCAGCACAGAGGAUUCUGUCCAACUUUUCCAAAAGCUUAAUAGAUUUUUAAAUGGGGUUAUUAACACCACCUAUGAAUUAUUUUAGGGACCUAAUUAUAAAAAACAAAACGCAGUUAAUUAGGUUUCCUGAACUCGCCUUGACAUAGGUGAAACAAGAUCUCUAAAUGCAGGAGGAUUGAAAAGCGAAUCACUUCAAACAAAGAAUCAAUGAGUAUUAUUGCAGAACCAAUUGAACAAUUACUUCUUUAAUUGUUGGCACCCUGCUACCUUCACUUAACAACAGGAUGGAUCGGCAGAGUUCCUUAACCUCCUCCAGUAGCUGGAAGUGCCGGGAGGGGCUGCGCUGGGGAGGAGCCGCUGGAUGCGGGUCCGUGGGGCAGCGCUGCCCCUCGGGAGAGGCUCCUGAGAGCCCAGAGGUGCCACCGAGCUCAUCCCGCACCUCGGACAAGAGCACGACAGAGCCUCCUGCAGCCUGCUCAGCAAAGCGUUCCCCGAGCCGGAGCUAGAACCAAACUACAGCCGGUGCGAGGAGCAAAAAUAAACGCGAGCCACACGGGCUGGGGUCCUGCUCCACACAAACACCUCCACAUCACACAGAGCUCACCGUGCACCAACCCAAACUGGGCAUAAACCUCAGCUCCCCAUGUCACAUUAAUGAUGUGAAGUUCAAGCUCCACAGAGAGAUGGAUCAAGAGCCCCAGUUUGCACAAGUUCUUUGCCAGUAACCCAAAUUUGGAACAGCCAAGAGCUCUGACCACAGCCGGACAGCAGGGCUGUGUUGGGUACCUCUUGUGCCCCAAGGCCAGCCCCUCUAGCCAUGGUGAAUGACAGAAAAGUGCUAUUGAACAAGUCAAUAAAAUGCUCAAAAUAUA